CCUACGGGCGGCUGCAGUGGGGAAUAUUGCACAAUGGGCGCAAGCCUGAUGCAGCCAUGCCGCGUGUGUGAAGAAGGCCUUCGGGUUGUAAAGCACUUUCAGCGGGGAGGAAGGCGGUGAGGUUAAUAACCUCAUCGAUUGACGUUACCCGCAGAAGAAGCACCGGCUAACUCCGUGCCAGCAGCCGCGGUAAUACGGAGGGUGCAAGCGUUAAUCGGAAUUACUGGGCGUAAAGCGCACGCAGGCGGUCUGUCAAGUCGGAUGUGAAAUCCCCGGGCUCAACCUGGGAACUGCAUUCGAAACUGGCAGGCUAGAGUCUUGUAGAGGGGGGUAGAAUUCCAGGUGGAGCGGGGAAAUGCGUAGAGAUCUGGAGGAAUACCGGGGGCGAAGGCGGCCCCCUGGACAAAGACUGACGCUCAGGUGCGAAAGCGUGGGGAGCAAACAGGAUUAGAUACCCCUGUAGUC
rnacentral:rRNA from 1 species